GAAGUGACCAAUGUCGAAUACCGUCAGAUCCUGGUCGGGAAACGGAUCGUGUUAGUAGGUCCCGACAUAGCGGCACCGCUGCCCAGCCCAGUGGCUAAUUUUGGUCUUGAAUUAUUUGUGGAAGUCCAGAGAAGGUUUAAAAGCCCCCUCGCAAAAAAACCGGCUCCGACGCGCGGCACCGUGCUAACUGAACGCAGAACCUCUUCACUGCAGAAAAGCCAGGAGACCGUUACUUACCCCAGUGGACUCACAAUAUACCCCACCCCCAGUAUUUACGCAAUUUGACUCAUUGUGCUCAGCCCCGAUUGUAAUAAAAAUGAUCUAAAUACUAAAGGUUGAAUAAGGUUAAAAAGGUUGAUAAAGGUUGAAUACUAAAUACUGGAUGUACAAUCGCAAUGUUCCCAUCGCUUGGUUUCGGAGAAAAUAAGUUGGUGUAAGAAAAAUGUUUUUACAAUAGACGUAGUGACAAGUGUUGUUUAUGUAACAUGAUUAAUGUGACGUUCAUCGAAUCAAUGUAAAUAAAUAUGAAUAGAAGUAUUUCCAUGACAUCAAA